rnacentral:lncRNA from 1 species
GAGGAGUCAUUUCGUAAGUUUUGAGUGAAAUCUAAUGGCUGAAACUAUGCAAUACACCAACCACUCCAUUUACGGAACGAACUUUGUACGAACUUGAAUUGUCCAAUUUCUAAGUUCAAUCGAUAUUGGAUUGAGCCCAAAACUUGGUCAACAUCAUUAUAUGGUGGGAGGAGUCAUUUCAUGAGUUUUGAGUGAAAUCAAAUGGCUAAAAC